AGUUGCAGUGGGAGAUGGACGGAAUGAGAGCAGGCUUCAUGUGCGCCGCACCGCACCCGGCUGCCCCUGUGAGGACAGUCUGUUUCUGACAUGAGCUCGGACUGCGAAAGUUAUUACAGCAAAGAAAACGUGCUCGUGGAGGGCUUCACGUGUCCCAGAGCGGACAGUGACACCACGGCACUUUUCUGCUGCGGGUUCAGUGACUUGAAGUACUGUUGUGAUGACCCCAACAGCUUUUUCCCAUACGAAUAUGGAUACAUGUGGUGGUUAAGUCUUGGAGCUCUCGUGGGUCUCUCUGUGGCAGCGUUGGUUCUCCUUGCGUUUAUCAUCACUCUCUGUGUCCUCUGCUAUCUGUUCAUCACCACCAAACCCAGAGGUCUGGACAACGGGCUGCCGCUCCGAGCACCAGGCUCUACAUCCAGUCCACAAGGACCAGGGCCGAGUCAGACCAGCGCCCCUACUGGCCCUCAAGGCCUUCGGAAACACUUCCUGAGAGGCAAGCUGGAUUGUGACAACCAGCCACCGGACCCUGACCGCCUUUUCCAGCGCUGUUUCAUGGCUACUGUCACAUCUAUCAAUGUCGAGGGUCCUGCAUAGACUGCCACACUUUUGGACUUUUUGACAUUUUUUUUCUUACAUGGUGGCCACUGACCUGUUCACUAUACUGUAUCCUUCUUCCGUAGAAGACUACAGGGAAACGGAUCACCUGCGGCUCACUCAAUGGAUUUGUGAUGCAAUCCGCAGAAGUUAUGAAGCGGUGGAUCACCCUCUCCCCAGAUGGCCUGAGGCAUUGUGUCCUCUGUGGUGCUUUUCAGGGAUGUCUCAGUAGAGGACAUCUGCUUGGCCGCCACCUGCUCAUCCACUUCAACCUUUGUACAGUCAUAUCUCAGGGAUAUGACUGCUUGUUUGGUGUCCCAUGCAGUGCUUCAUGCACUGUCUAGGUGGGCCUCGUCUGGAGCGUACUGAGGUGUUGGUAAGUGUCCAGCUUGUUUGUUGUUUUUUUGCAGUGUGGCGCGAGAUCCUCAGGCAGGCGGUUCUCAACUGCUGAACUGCUGCUGUUUUUUGGUUAGCUGGUUUUGGGCCAGCUGGGAAUACAGCUCAUCCCUAAUUGCCUUCGCUUUUUGUAAUAACUAAUAGCGAAGCCUGUUAUAGGGUGGAGCAUGUACAAAAUAGAAAUAGUAGUUACCUGGAUGUAACUCCAGUUCUUAUACGUGCGGAGCCCUCUAACUACAAGCCCAGCUGGCCCCAGUCAUUUGUUGCUGAGUUUCAAAGGGAGAUGAGCAGUGUAGAUAUGAGAGGAUGCUGCGCAGUCGCUACCUCUUGAUUGAGCAAUGAGUGCAAAGAUCUUUCCAAGGUGCCAAUUGCCUAUUGGUAAACUAAUAGCAAAGCUUGUAGAGGGCUCCACACGUACUCAUAAAACUGAAGUUACAUCUAGGUAACUACUAUUUGCUCACUGGGCAGAGAGAGCCUACUGAGUAGCAUUAUGGGAAUCGUAGGCUCCAGUGUUUUUGGAACUUGACCUAUAUUAGUGACUAAAGGUCAGGACAUCUCCCCCUCUGCUUUGAUUUCCAUCUCCAGCAUUGCAAUGGAGUGGAAAUGUGACACAGCUGCAUCUGGGGGAGUAAAUUGCUAAAAUAUUUCUUUAAAUAUGUUCAUCUGGAAACACAUCGCGAUGGUUACAUUUGUUUUUCAUAGAAAUGGAGCUGUAGCUGGUCUCACAUGGAUGUUCCAGGUUUAACAGCCACUGUGGCUUAACACUUUCCUGUUGGGGUGAAAUUUCCCUUUAAAGAGUAAAUAUAUCCUAGAUUAUAACUUACUUAAAUUAUAAAUAAAUAAGUGUGGACAAUGACAGUAACAGGAAAACGGCCACCCCUCCCGAAGAUUUUUUUUCCAAUAAUUAAGAUGUUCAAAGGUGCUUGAAUGAAUAGAAAGAUACCUGUCAUUUCCUAGUGUUAAGUUACUGUUUAGUGUGAACUGCUGUCAGAGACAGCCGUGUUGUCCUGAUGGUCUAGUGGUCUAAACUCAUUUAAACAAGGUCAUCUGUUUGAAUCCGGCCUGGCACCAAAGUGUGUGCAUCUUGCAGUUCCUGUCUAUCUAUUGUGAUCUCUUGUGGUUUAAAAGUUGUAAAAUACAUGUAUGUCAAAUUAUGUGCAUGUGAUAUUAAAUAUCUUGCUGUAAUUUGUACUGUAGCCCAAGCACAACAUUUUCUAUUUCAUCCAAUUUUUGAACAAAUUUCACCAAAAUAUUUGACAAUACACCUGAAAGCAGCAGAAUGUAGUGUGAUUCAGAAUGUUAUGACCAACAUUUUGACUGUUGUAAGCGUUUUAAGUUUAAAUAGACAAAAAAUACCCCAGUUUUGCACAUGUGAUGUCAUUGCCUCAAGUUGUGAGAAGGUGUGUGGAAACCAUGUUGCCCCAGUGGUGCAGUCAGUAAGUCACCUUCUAUGGGGAUGCAAAGGUCCAGGGUUUGAAUCCCUAGAUGGCCUACUUUCCAACAAUGUAGUAAAGCAUGCAUGUGGUAUGUUUUCACAUGCUUUUUGAGGUUAUAUUAAGUUGAAGGUUGUGACCCUGUGAAAAUUUCUUUUUCUAUUUUUCUCUGCUAAAAGUGUAUGUGCAUCAAACACCAUAAGACCUAGAAAUACCAAAAAUUGGCAGGUGGGUUGCAGUUUCCACCCACUACUCAGGCACAUAUAAUGACACUUAUUGACCUUAAGGUGACACUGUAAUAAUCAAGUUUACAUUUUUGCAAUCUCGAAAAUGACUUGGCCUAGAGUCAAAAUCUUUCAUCAUUUUAAUCUCUCAAGUCAUCUGCAUCUGGUCUUCUGAUCUACAAAUGUCAAACUUUGUGAGUUUUUGCAAUCUGCUUUGACUCUGAUCAUUACCGCUUGCGACUAUAUUUAUGUUUGGUUUUGAAAUACCAAAAUAAAAUAUUUUAAAAAAAGAAGAAACCAUCGUUUUUUGUUAUGAAUUCUCCUGUUGACUGCUCACUUCAUUUUAUGAAUAUUCAUGUAAUGUCUGUCUCUGUUUACGAGCUUGUUAAUGACUUGUGUUUCACAUCAUUCUACUUAUAGCGAGAUCUUUGGCAGCUUAA